UACGGAGGAUGCGAGCGUUGUCCGGAUUUACUGGGUUUAAAGGGUGCUUAGGCGGGCGAUUAAGUGAGAAUUGAAAGGCAGUCGCUCAACGAUUGUAAGGUUCUCAUACUGGUUGUCUUGAGAGUAGUGGGGGCAGAUGGAAUGAGCGGAGUAGCGGUGAAAUGCAUAGAUACCACUUGGAACACCGAUUGCGAAGGCAGUCUGCUACGCUAUAUCUGACGCUGAGCCACGAAAGCGUGGGGAGCAAACAGG
rnacentral:rRNA from 1 species